rnacentral:rRNA from 1 species
UACGUAGGGAGCAAGCGUUGUCCGGAAUCAUUGGGCGUAAAGCGCGCGUAGGCGGCCCCGUAAGUCCGCUGUGAAAGUCAAAGGCUCAACCUUUGAAAGCCGGUGGAUACUGUGGGGCUAGAGUCCGGAAGAGGCGAGUGGAAUUCCUGGUGUAGCGGUGGAAUGCGCAGAUAUCAGGAGGAACACCAAUAGCGAAGGCAGCUCGCUGGGACGGUACUGACGCUAAGGCGCGAAAGCGUGGGGAGCGAACGAG